CAUGAAGUCGGAAUUGCUAGUAAUCGCGGAUCAGCAUGCCGCGGUGAAUACGUUCUCGGGCCUUGUACACACCGCCCGUCACACCAUGGGAGUCGGUAACACCCGAAGUCUGUAGCCUGACGCAAGAGGGCGCAGCCGAAGGUGGGAUUGAUGACUGGGGUGAAGUCGUAACAAGGUAAC
rnacentral:rRNA from 1 species